rnacentral:rRNA from 1 species
GACGUAGGGCGCGAGCGUUUGUCCGGAUUUAUUGGGCGUAAAGAGCUCGUAGGCGGCUUGUCGCGUCGUCCGUGAAAACUUGGGGCUCAACCCCAAGCUUGCGGUCGAUACGGGCAGGCUAGAGUUCGGUAGGGGAGACUGGAAUUCCUGGUGUAGCGGUGAAAUGACGCAGAUAUCAGGAGGAACACCGGUGGCGAAGGCGGGUCUCUGGGCCGAUACUGACGCUGAGGAGCGAAAGCGUGGGGAGCGAACAGG